CUGGCAACGUCUUUAAUACUCCAAGCUUAAACUUGAGGAGGGAACGCUUCAGUAAAAAGCGGUGCAAUAAUGAGCUUGUAAAGCCUAUUUGCACAGCUAUGGAUGCCUCUGAUUUUGUCAAGUGAACCACAUAAUGUACUGCACCAUCACUUCCUAUUAGUGGAGGAAACUGUACAAAAUGCAUUUCAGGAAAGAGGUGCUUUUUCUGUCACCACAUCAGCUAAAUUGGCAGAAGAGAAAUCAAAUUCACAACCAAACAUUUCCAGCUUGUCUGGUGAAGUUACCAAAACGAGGUAUAAUGAAAAUCUGGCAGUGGUGGCUGAAAAUAGUAUCAGAAGUCCUAUUAGCACUGAUACUGUUGGGAGGACUGGGCAUAGUAAGAUGAGUUGAGAUAUUACUUGGGUUUGAUUGGUGUUACUACCGGUAAGGGUAAUGUUGUCCUCACUGACUAAAAUGUCCGUCCUAUUGAGGUCUUCAUGUGCAAUAUCGUGUGCAAGAAGGGAUAUGGCGAUGGCUUUAAGUGGCUUUCCCAAUACAUUAAGUAGGAGAAUCGGAGAAUGGAAGAAGCAAGCGAAUGUGCGAAGCCAUCUAAGGGUAACUUUCAUGCCACUGCUGCAUGAAUGUAUAUAUUGGGAAUGUAAAGUUUAGUAUGUAGCUUUUACUUUGUUAUCUUGCAGACAGUCUUGCUAUUUUUUUGGUGGGGAAGGUUAAGUUGAUUAUGUUCUCUCUCUGUGUCUGUCUCUCUUUGUACUUGACACGAUUGUAAAGAAAUUAAGUUGUGUUGUAAUAUUUAUGAUUGAUGGGGAAAUGUUCCGAUC